UGGGGGAUAUUGCACAAUGGGCGAAAGCCUGAUGCAGCGACGCCGCGUGGGGGAUGAAGGCUUUCGGGUUGUAAACCUCUUUCGCUAUCGAACAAGGCCCGCUUAGGGUGGGUUGAGGGUAGGUGGAGAAGAAGCGCCGGCUAACUACGUGCCAGCAGCCGCGGUAAUACGUAGGGCGCGAGCGUUGUCCGGAAUUAUUGGGCGUAAAGGGCUUGUAGGCGGCUUGUUGCGCCUGCUGUGAAAACGCGGGGCUUAACUUCGCGCGUGCAGUGGGUACGGGCAGGCUUGAGUGUGGUAGGGGUGACUGGAAUUCCAGGUGUAGCGGUGGAAUGCGCAGAUAUCUGGAGGAACACCGAUGGCGAAGGCAGGUCACUGGGCCAUUACUGACGCUGAGGAGCGAAAGCAUGGGUUGCGAACAGG
rnacentral:rRNA from 1 species